UGACAGGGCAGUUAUACUGAUGUUGAUCUGGAAUGGGCCACUUACAGAUCAACAUUGUUGGUAGCGACACCGUCAGCUCCUGAACCAGCCCAGUGGCUGCAUGGCAGCUGCACGGGCAAGCGGCACUGAAACUGGAUCAGCAGUGUUGCUACUAGAGGUUUACAAUAGGCUUUUUCUAAGUAACUGGGAGGAUUAGAACCUUUUCUGUUACAGCUGCCACAAGUUAAUUGGGUGUGUUAUCAACUUCUGCAUAAAACAAGGCACUAAGUUUGUAAGCUUUGAGCUUUGCAUUUGGCUUAGCUUGAUGGCUCGUUGAGAGCUGAAGAAGCUGUUUUUGGGAGUAGUUAUGCAACGUCCUGAGCAUUAAGCUGUUUGGAGUGCCAAGGAAGGCAAGAUAAGAACAUUCUUCAAAAAACAAAGUUGCAGUUUGUUUGCAUGCUGUUGUUUGAAGAAGACUCACCGAAGAUAUUGUUUGUUAUUGAUAGAGAGCUGGUCCAUACCUGUGCUGAUGCCAGUGGGCCUCAAUUGAGAGACUGCCAAAAAUGCAAAAUGGUAUCAAAACAUCUUUUAAGAGUAGAAUGACAUCACAGCUCAUAAAGAAGAUCCUGUAAUUUGGAACUGCACAAUAUAAGUGGGGAGAGAGAGCAGAAUGAGAAUUUGAAAGCAAAACGCAGGUAUACUUUGUAUUCCUUUGUGUGCAUGUGCCUGCAAGCCACCUGCUGACAUGGUGACCUCAUGAAUUUCAUAGGGCUUUCUUAGAGAAGCAACAUUCAGAAUUGAUUUUGCCGGUUCCUUCCUCUGAAAUAUAGCCUAAGCAUCUGAUACUUGUUGGUAAUUUGCCCUUCAAGUACUAAGGUUGAUGUUGCUUAGUUGCCAAGAUCAGAUGGGAUCUAGGUCCUUUAAGGCAUUUGUUUUCCUAUCUGAGGCAUAAAAUACAUUGCAGGGUGGGCAAUUUCCUAGGCCCAGGGGACUCCACUAUAUCCUAUUACUGAGUAUCUUUUCAUAUUCCUAGUAUCUUGAUAACAGCACCUGAAGCGGAGUAGCUUACCUGCUGCCUGGCUGUUUCAUGAACAAUCCCAUCAACCCUAUUGCAGGAAACCCAUAGUACAUCUUGUGUUACUUCAUAUAUAUUAAACUACACAAAGACAGCUAUUUUUGAAAUCCCUGUUAAUGCAGAGAAUAUGGAGUUCUUUGGAAGACAUAGAGCCCACAUCAUUAUACUAGCAAGAUUAUUCUCUCCAGAAUGAAAAUGUUACUUGUAGGUGUUGAAUUGGAGUUUGGCCAUUAUGCUUAGAGAUUUGGUGCUCAACCAUUAAAAAGACUUUAAAAAAGUGAUUCAUGGAGUUUCAUUUGUCUGUUGAUAAUAUGUGGUUUAAUAUUAUCUUAUAUUGAGAUGGAUGCCCCCAUUUUAAUGUUUGUUGUAAAAACUUAAGGCUUUGUGUAUAGUUAAGUAACCAUCAGUAAAGACUACUAAUGGCACAUCUACACUGACCCUUACAUUGGGCCUGAUCUGAUGUGCUAGAUACGGAAUUGAGCCCAAGAUGACAUACAGCUCCCCCACCUUUACCACCACCACCACCAAAGAGGUGGAAGACAGCCCCUACCCCCCUCCAAUGAUGAACACAGUUUGGUG
ensembl:lncRNA